rnacentral:rRNA from 1 species
AGUGAACGCUGGCGGUAGGCCUAACACAUGCAAGUCGAACGGCAGCACAGUAAGAGCUUGCUCUUACGGGUGGCGAGUGGCGGACGGGUGAGGAAUACAUCGGAAUCUACUUUUUCGUGGGGGAUAACGCAGGGAAACUUACGCUAAUACCGCAUACGACCUACGGGUGAAAGCAGGGGAUCUUCGGACCUUGCGCGAUUGAAUGAGGCGAUGUCGGAUUAGCUAGUUGGCGGGGUAAAGGCCCACCAAGGCGACGAUCCGUAGCUGGUCUGAGAGGAUGAUCAGCCACACUGGAACUGAGACACGGUCCAGACUCCUACGGGAGGCAGCAGUGGGGAAUAUUGGACAAUGGGCGCAAGCCUGAUCCAGCCAUACCGCGUGGGUGAAGAAGGCCUUCGGGUUGUAAAGCCCUUUUGUUGGGAAAGAAAAGCAGCAGGUUAAUACCCCGCUGUUCUGACGGUACCCAAAGAAUAAGCACCGGCUAACUUCGUG